rnacentral:lncRNA from 1 species
UUUUCCCACCUUAUCAAAUCUCCAAAGGCAUCCCAAACUCACCUAUGGCUUACCUCCAUGGUAAGGGGCGAACAGACUUAUGGAAGGCUUAAAUGGCACAGGACCAUGGUUUUCUCUCCUCCUUUUGCUUGACUGGCCAACAGCUGAAUUCAGAAUGAACAAAUCAGCUCAGACAUAAGGACCCAAAAAUAUCAAAAUAGAGGACCCCUGGGCAGAGCCCUCCUGUUCCUACAGGUCUCCACCCUCAGUGUGGAGGGAAAGAGAGGGGCUGAGGGAAGCGUCUGAUGGAAAUGAAAUCCAAGCAAUCACACACUGAGGAAGACACUGCAUUGAAUGGGAGUCCAACAGGGUACCUGGUGCCCUUUUAGCACCCACCUGCAGCACUUCAC